UGGUUCUGGCAUCGAUGAAGAACGCAGCGAAAUGCGAUAAGUAAUGCGAAUUGCAGAAUUCCGUGAGUCAUCGAAUCUUUGAACGCACAUUGCGCCCUUUGGUAUUCCGAAGGGCAUACCUGUUCGAGCGUCAUUAUCAACCUUCAAGUAUUGGCUUGUUAUUGGAAUUGGUGCAAAUACCUUUCCCAAAGAUAAUGACGGUGUUUUUGAAACCCUCGGUACAAUGAGCUCUUAAAAAAGCACGUAUUGAAGUGGUUUCUUAAAUCCGGUCCUUCUUUUAUAUUUUCUAAGGUUGACCUCGGAUCAGGUAGGGAUACCCGCUGA
rnacentral:misc_RNA from 1 species